rnacentral:rRNA from 1 species
AUUGAGGGUGCUUACACAUGCAGUCGAACGAUGAUCCCUAGCUUGCUGGGGGGAUUAGUGGCGAACGGGUGAGUAACACGUGAGUAACCUGCCCUUGACUCUGGGAUAAGCCUGGGAAACUGGGUCUAAUACUGGAUAUGACUGACUAUCGCAUGGUGGUUGGUGGAAAGCUUUUGUGGUUUUGGAUGGACUCGCGGCCUAUCAGCUUGUUGGUGGGGUAAUGGCCUACCAAGGCGACGACGGGUAGCCGGCCUGAGAGGGUGGACGGCCACACUGGGACUGAGACACGGCCCAGACUCCUACGGGAGGCAGCAGUGGGGAAUAUUGCACAAUGGGCGCAAGCCUGAUGCAGCGACGCCGCGUGAGGGAUGAAGGCCUUCGGGUUGUAAACCUCUUUCAGUAGGGAAGAAGCGAAAGUGACGGUACCUGCAGAAGAAGCGCCGGCUAACUACGUGCCAGCAGCCGCGGUAAUACGUAGGGCGCAAGCGUUAUCCGGAAUUAUUGGGCGUAAAGAGCUCGUAGGCGGUUUGUCGCGUCUGCCGUGAAAGUCCGGGGCUUAACUCCGGAUCUGCGGUGGGUACGGGCAGACUUGAGUGAUGUAGGGGAGACUGGAAUUCCUGGUGUAGCGGUGAAAUGCGCAGAUAUCAGGAGGAACACCGAUGGCGAAGGCAGGUCUCUGGGCAUUAACUGACGCUGAGGAGCGAAAGCAUGGGGAGCGAACAGGAUUAGAUACCCUGGUAGUCCAUGCCGUAAACGUUGGGCACUAGGUGUGGGGGGACAUUCCACGUUUUCCGCGCCGUAGCUAACGCAUUAAGUGCCCCGCCUGGGGAGUACGGCCGCAAGGCUAAAACUCAAAGGAAUUGACGGGGGCCCGCACAAGCGGCGGAGCAUGCGGAUUAAUUCGAUGCAACGCGAAGAACCUUACCAAGGCUUGACAUGAACCGGAACGGCGCAGAGAUGUGUCGGCCACUUGUGGCCGGUUUACAGGUGGUGCAUGAUGUCGUCAGCUCGUGUCGUGAGAUGUUGGGUUAAGUCCCGCAACGAGCGCAACCCUCGUUCCAUGUUGCCAGCGGGUUUUGCCGGGGGACUCAUGGGAGAA